AGAAAAAAACCCUUGUGCAAAAAAUCCAUGUAAAGAAAAUAGAACGUGCGAACGAAUCGGAGCAGCAGAAGGAUAUAAUUGUACAUGUCAAAACAAUUUUAUUGAGAUAAACGGUACUUGUGAACCUCAAAAACCAGGUAAGAUCACACAUCGUAUUAACAUUAGUCUAGGAGGAGAAGGGGGUAUCGUAACCCGAGGAGGAAAUUUAUAAGAAUAUGUGACUUUGGUCAAUAUUGGGCGCUGAUUUCAAAAAUCGAUGUUAUACGGG